CACACCCACUGGAGAGGACGCACGCCCUGGGCCCCACCUGGGCUCUGCUGACAUCCUUCCUGGUUCACCCUCUUUGGCAGAGCUGCCUCAGGGAUGGGGUCCCAGUCACGCCACUGACCACUCCCUAAACUACAUGUGAACCUGACCUUGGAUGAAGAGCUGCAUUUUUCCCAUGUCCCUCUGGACAACGGAUGAGCCAGCCCAGCAGAAAUGAUCUCUUCUGCUUUGGUUUAGUUCUCUGGGACAUUGCCACCAUGGUGGUAUGCUUACAGAAACAUCCGAAGUCUUUUCUCAGGAACUUCCUCAUCAGAGUCUCACAACUCUGGGAGGCAGAGAAAGCAAAGAUUUCCACUUAUAUCAAAAAUAACAGACUUCAUUCAUUCUGCUUGAUUAUAACGAAGGGGAGUAUUUAUUACACGUAUGUAUGGCCAUUAAUUAUUUCUUUGUGAGCUGCCAGUGGUCACUUUUCUACAGAGGUCAUAGGACACUCUGGUCCACAGAAUGGUAUGUGUCCAGUGAUGUUCAGCAAAGGAAGAUAAUGGCCCCUUCCAUAGGGUAUGGCUACUGAGAUUCUUGAUUCAAGAUUCCCGAUCAUGACAUGAAACCAAGCUGAUGAGGCGGGGUGUCCAAUAGUCAAAUGGCUUAAAACGGUUUCACAAUAGCAAUGGUGAUUGAGCCAAGGGAAAUAGUAAAAAAUAAAAAGGAAAGAAUUAACUAAACCAUUUCCACUUGUAUUUCUAUGGGAAAAAAAAAAUCACAACAGAAGAAGAGCUCAUCAUUUGGCUGUUCGGAUGCUGACACUGUCCUGUGAAUGAGGAGCUGGUCGAGGGCUGACCCAAGACAACUGAUCUGCACAGGAACCCACCGGGGGGCUCAGGAAGGACCGGAUUCAUCUACAACUUAAACGAAACCUGGACCAGACUUCUUGGCUACCUUCCCAACCCACAUGGGGUCAUAAGCAGAAUCUCUCUGGAACAUCUAAAGACGGGUUUACUCUGACCUGAAGGCCUCCACAGGGCUGUGCAGAACCAUGCCAGGGACAUGGGUCACGUUACCACUGCUGUCUUUUUGACGCCCCCAUAAGAUUAAACAUAACCUGGCUCUUAACUACUUGUAACGCCACUGUGAACCAGCCUGUCCAUUUGCCCCUUGCUCCAAGGAUCCUGGCCUCAUCUCUCCUGGUGCACAUCAUGUCCGAUCCUGCCUUUGGUCCUUCUGCUGGACAGCUCUGCUUCCAAAUGGCCUCAGCGGGCUCCACUCCAGAACCCAGGUGUGAGAUCCCCGGUCAUAUGCGCAGACACUGCAUCCUAACUGCCACCACCA